ACCCUCUUGGGCAUAGUAAAGGAAAAGAAACUAUUUUUUCUCUGAUUGCCUAGGUUGCAUCUAAAAAUUUUUUUAUUCAUCUACAAGAUUAAGAAUCAAAUCCUUACCUAAUUAGUAGCAGAACCAGAGAUCAAAUCUCAAUUUAUCUAGAUUAAACCUUCACGGAGGCCUGGAUAUGCAAACUCUCUACUUCACAUGCACGCC
rnacentral:lncRNA from 1 species